UGAACGGUCCUUUUCAGGACCACCGCAGAGAUGAGGGUACGCUGAC
rfam:Ciona intestinalis ciona1633, whole genome shotgun sequence.